AUGAGCAAUAACAGGUCUGUGAUGCCCUUAGAUGUUCGGGGCCGCACGCGCGCUACACUGACCGGAUCAGCGUGUGCUCUCCUUGGCCGACAGGUCCGGGAAACCCGUUGAACCCCGGUCGUGCUAGGGAUAGGGAAUUGCAAUUAUUUCCCUUGAACGAGGAAUUCCCAGUAAGCGCGAGUCAUUAGCUCGCGUUGAUUACGUCCCUGCCCUUUGUACACACCGCCCGUCGCUACUACCGAUUGAAUGGUUUAGUGAGGUCCUCCGAUUGGACCCGGUCCGGGCGGCGACGUCCGAGCCGGCGUCCGAGAAGACGAUCUAACUUGAUCAUUUAGAGGAAGUAAAAGUCGUAACAAGGUUUCCGUAGGUGAACCUGCGGAAGGAUCAUUA
rnacentral:ncRNA from 1 species